AUUGAACGCUGGCGGCAGGCCUAACACAUGCAAGUCGAGGGGUAGAAGGAGCUUGCUCCUUUGAGACCGGCGCACGGGUGCGUAACGCGUAUGCAAUCUACCUUUUGCAGAGGGAUAGCCCAGAGAAAUUUGGAUUAAUACCUCAUAGUAUGUGAGGAUAGGCAUCAUUUUCACAUUAAAGUCACAACGGCAAAAGAUGAGCAUGCGUCCCAUUAGCUAGUUGGUAAGGUAACGGCUUACCAAGGCUACGAUGGGUAGGGGUCCUGAGAGGGAGAUCCCCCCANACUGGUACUGAGACACGGACCAGACUCCUACGGGAGGCAGCAGUGAGGAAUAUUGGACAAUGGGCGCAAGCCUGAUCCAGCCAUGCCGCGUGCAGGAUGACGGUCCUAGU
rnacentral:rRNA from 1 species